UACAGAGGUCCCAAGCGUUGUUCGGAUUCAUUGGGCGUAAAGGGUGCGUAGGUGGCGCCGUAAGUCGGGUGUGAAAUUUCGGAGCUUAACUCCGAAACUGCAUUCGAUACUGCGGUGCUUGAGGACUGGAGAGGAGACUGGAAUUCAUGGUGUAGCAGUGAAAUGCGUAGAUAUCGUAAGGAAGACCAGUGGCGAAGGCGGGUCUCUGGACAGUUCCUGACGCUGAGGCACGAAGGCCAGGGGAGCAAACGGG
rnacentral:rRNA from 1 species